UACGUAGGCAGCAAGCGUUGUUCGGAGUUACUGGGCGUAAAGAGUGCGUAGGCGGUGUCGAAAGUUUGGCGUGAAAUCUCCCGGCUUAACUGGGAGGGUGCGCCGAAAACUGCGGUGCUGGAGUGUGGGAAAGGCAAGCGGAAUUCCUGGUGUAGCGGUGAAAUGCGUAGAUAUCAGGAGGAACACCCAUGGCGAAGGCAGCAGACUGGGCGUUUCCUGACGCUGAGGCGCGAAAGCGUGGGUAGCAAACAGG
rnacentral:rRNA from 1 species